rnacentral:rRNA from 1 species
GACGAACGCUGGCGGCGUGCUUAACACAUGCAAGUCGAACGGUAAGGCCCUUUCGGGGGUACACGAGUGGCGAACGGGUGAGUAACACGUGGGUGAUCUGCCCUGCACUUUGGGAUAAGCCUGGGAAACUGGGUCUAAUACCGGAUAGGACUACGCGAUGCAUGUCGUGUGGUGGAAAGCUUUUGCGGUGUGGGAUGGGCCCGCGGCCUAUCAGCUUGUUGGUGGGGUGAUGGCCUACCAAGGCGACGACGGGUAGCCGGCCUGAGAGGGUGUCCGGCCACACUGGGAUUGAGAUACGGCCCAGACUCCUACGGGAGGCAGCAGUGGGGAAUAUUGCACAAUGGGCGCAAGCCUGAUGCAGCGACGCCGCGUGGGGGAUGACGGCCUUCGGGUUGUAAACCCCUUUCAGCACAGACGAAGCGUAAGUGACGGUAUGUGCAGAAGAAGCACCGGCCAACUACGUG